rnacentral:rRNA from 1 species
UACGGGAGGCAGCAGUGGGGAAUAUUGCACAAUGGGCGAAAGCCUGAUGCAGCUAUGCCGCGUGUAUGAAGAAGGCCUUAGGGUUGUAAAGUACUUUCAUCGGGGAGGAAAAACAAAACUAAUAAUUUUAUUUCUUGACGUUACCCGAAAAAGAAGCACCGGCUAACUCCGUGCCAGCAGCCGCGGUAAUACGGAGGGUGCUAGCGUUAAUCAGAAUUACUGGGCGUAAAGAGCACGUAGGUGGUUUUUUUAAGUCAGAUGUGAAAUCCCUGGGCUUAACCUAGGAACUGCAUUUUGAAACUGAAAUACUAGAGUAUCGUAGAGGGAGGUAGAAUUCUAGGUGUAGCGGUGAAAUGCGUAGAUAUCUGGAGGAAUACCUGUGGCGAAAGCGGCCUCCUAAACGAAUACUGACACUGAGGGUGCGAAAGCGUGGGGAGCAAACAGGGAUUAGACUACC